rnacentral:rRNA from 1 species
UGGGGAAUUUUACACAAUGGGCGAAAGCCUGAUGUAGCAACGCCGCGUGGAGGAUGAAGGUUUUCGGAUUGUAAACUCCUUUUAUUAGGGAAGAAAUUUGACGGUACCUAAUGAAUAAGCGCCGGCUAACUCCGUGCCAGCAGCCGCGGUAAUACGGAGGGCGCAAGCGUUACUCGGAAUCACUGGGCGUAAAGGGAGCGUAGGCUUUUUAUCAAGUCUCGAGUGAAAUGCUAUAGCUUAACUAUAGAACUGCUUGGGAAACUGAUAGAAUAGAGUAUGGAAGAGGUAGGUGGAAUUUCCAGUGUAGGGGUAAAAUCCGUAGAUAUUGGAAGGAAUACCAGAAGCGAAGGCGACCUACUGGGACAUUACUGACGCUGAGGCUCGAAAGCGUGGGGAGCAA